rnacentral:sRNA from 1 species
AUGGCCUUGGUGACGGCUAGUGUGUGGAGGUGAGCUCCAGGAUUGCGUGGUUGCCUCAUGCUGCAGGCUGCGGCCGUCAGCCCCCACUCGCAUUGGUGGCGCUGAGGUGCCGGGGCAGCAAGCGACAUGUCGUCGGGCCUCCGCGCCGCUGACUUCCCCCGCUGGAAGCGCCACAUCUCGGAGCAACUGAGGCGCCGGGACCGGCUGCAGAGACAGGCGUUCGAGGAGAUCAUCCUGCAGUAUAACAAAUUGCUGGAAAAGUCAGAUCUUCAUUCAGUGUUGGCCCAGAAACUACAGGCUGAAAAGCAUGACGUACCAAACAGGCAUGAGAUAAGUCCUGGACAUGAUGGCACAUGGAAUGACAGUCAGCUACAAGAAAUGGCCCAACUGAGGAUUAAGCACCAAGAGGAACUGACUGAAUUACACAAGAAACGUGGGGAGUUAGCUCAAUUGGUGAUUGACCUGAAUAACCAAAUGCAGCGGAAGGACAGGGAGAUGCAGAUGAAUGAAGCAAAGUGAGUAGAGACCCCGCCUCCUUGGAGCCUGGUCAU